rnacentral:tRNA from 1 species
GUUUAAUUAGUUUAAGUUAGAAUAAUAAUUUGUGGAAUUAUAGGUACAUUUUUUGUUUUAAAUC